rnacentral:rRNA from 1 species
GCCUGAUGCAGCAACGCCGCGUGAGGGAUGACGGCCUUCGGGUUGUAAACCUCUUUUAGUAGGGAAGAAGGGCUUCGGCUUGACGGUACCUGCAGAAAAAGCACCGGCUAAAUACGUGCCAGCAGCCGCGGUAAUACGUAGGGUGCGAGCGUUGUCCGGAAUUAUUGGGCGUAAAAAGCUCGUAGGCGGUUUGUCACGUCUGCUGUGAAAUCCCGAGGCUCAACCUCGGGCCUGCACUGGGUACGGGCAGACUGGAGUGCGGUAGGGGAGAAUGGAAUUCCUGGUGUAGCGGUGGAAUGCGCAGAUAUCAAGAGGAACACCGAUGGCGAAGGCAGUUCUCUGGGCCGUAACUGACGCUGAGGAGCGAAAGCGUGGGGAGCGAACAGGAUUAGAUACCCUGGUAGUCCACGCCGUAAACGUUGGGCGCUAGAUGUGGGGACCUUUCCACGGUUUCCGUGUCUUAGCUGACGCAUUAAGCGCCCCGCCAGGGGAGUACGGCCGCAAGGCUAAAACUCAAAGGAAUUGACGGGGGCCCGCACAAGCGGCGGAACAUGCGGAUUAAUUCGAUGCAACGCUAAAAACCUUACCAAGGCUUGACAUAACCCAUAACGCCUCAGAAAUGUGGAACUCUUUG